rnacentral:lncRNA from 1 species
GUGAGUGUAAGACUUGAUACUGGGAAAGAUGUCAAAAAAAAAAAAAGUAAAUGGACCAAUGACCAAAUCCUGGUCAACUCUGCCUGUCUCUAAUGGACAGUAGUUUGUAGGAAGCAAGAGCCUUUUGAACAAUGAACAUCAGAAGAGAUAUUUUCAUUAUUUCCAUCCUUGCAUUUAGGCCCUACCAUCCUUCAGUAUGCCUGUCUUCACCUCCAUAGCAGAUGGAAUCAGUACCAAUUAGAAGCCCAAGCUUUAGUUUGGGGAUCCCAAGUCCUGGAUUAGGCCCUGGUCAGAGGCAAAAUAUGUUCUGAGAGAAGAGAUUGGGACAGCAGAUCAGGACCCCAGUCUCAGAGCAUCAGGCUGAAUCCUGCAUGGAAGACGGUCAAUGAAAAACCAGUGCGUAGACUGCCAUCUACUGGACAACCAGAAAACAAACUGCUGAGUCGCCCUAGGACCUUGAGCAACAAAGGCAAAAAGGCAAAAUUAUGAAUACAUCAGUGGAACAGACAGGAGCAUGUAGGCACAACAAUGGUCCAGUUUGAAAUGAUUAUUUGCAAAAGAGUGUACAUUUCUACUUUCAAUGUUUGUACAGAGUCACUGGAGUUAUGAC